rnacentral:rRNA from 1 species
UACGUAGGUGGCAAGCGUUGUCCGGAAUUAUUGGGCGUAAAGCGCGCGCAGGUGGUUUCUUAAGUCUGAUGUGAAAGCCCACGGCUCAACCGUGGAGGGUCAUUGGAAACUGGGGGACUUGAGUGCAGAAGAGGAGAGCGGAAUUCCACGUGUAGCGGUGAAAUGCGUAGAGAUGUGGAGGAACACCAGUGGCGAAGGCGGCUCUUUGGUCUGUAACUGACGCUGAGGCGCGAAAGCGUGGGGAGCAAACAGG